AUGACAGAGUGGCUGAGGAUCCAGCCCCUGUGGGGAAGGGAACUGGGGGUCGACUUGGACCACCUUGGUGAUGACAGGGCUCACAAUCCGUGUGCUUCGGUUAAAGUGUCCUUUAAAAGGCUGUGCCUCUCAUGUUGGAUAACAAAACAAAAUCCAGAGAAUAGUUACUGGAUGAAGCACAAGCUGGAAUCAAGAUUGCAGGGAGAAAUAACGAUAACCUUAGAUAUGCAGAUGACACCACCCUUAUGGCAGAAAGCGAAGAGGAACUAA
rnacentral:lncRNA from 1 species